rnacentral:rRNA from 1 species
CUACGGGAGGCUCCAGUGAGGAAUAUUGCACAAUGGGGGGAACCCUGAUGCAGCAACGCCGCGUGGAGGAUGACGCAUUUCGGUGUGUAAACUCCUUUUAUAUGUCAAGAAAAUGACGGUAGCAUAUGAAUAAGCACCGGCUAACUCCGUGCCAGCAGCCGCGGUAAUACGGAGGGUGCAAGCGUUACUCGGAAUCACUGGGCGUAAAGGACGCGUAGGCGGGUUGGAAAGUCAGGUGUGAAAUCCUACAGCUUAACUGCGGAACUGCACUUGAAACUUCUAAUCUAGAGUAUGGGAGGGGGAGAUGGAAUUAGUGGUGUAGGGGUAAAAUCCGUAGAUAUCACUAGGAAUACCUAAAGCGAAGGCGAUCUCCUGGAACAUUACUGACGCUAAGGCGUGAAAGCGUGGGGAGCAAACAGGAUUAGAUACCCGAGUAGUC